AGAAAAGUGGUAGUCCCAAACUAACUAAAGCAUUAAAGCGGCUAACUACUACUAGCUCCACUAACUAAAGUAGAAAAGCGGGCCCAAACAUCAGCAUCUUUCCCGUAGUGUGCCCGCAGCAAAGCAGUAGUGCUAACAACUACUAUAAUUCAGGUUCGUUUUUCAGCUCGUCUUGACCAUGGCAUCUUUUUUUGUUAGCAAGCUUCUCGCUCUUAUAAGAUCAUACGGAUUUCUCAUUCAGGGAAAGAAUAAGUAAUACUAAAUAGCUAUGUUGAC
rnacentral:lncRNA from 1 species